rnacentral:ncRNA from 3 species
GGGAACCGUAUGCGGGAAAGCCGCACGCACGGUUCUGUGUGGGGGCGCUGGUCACGACGCAGGAACCGGCGUGCGCCACCCUUAG